rnacentral:rRNA from 1 species
GAGUUUGAUCCUGGCUCAGGAUGAACGCUGGCGGCGUGCUUAACACAUGCAAGUCGAACGAAGCAUUUAAGACAGAUUACUUCGGUUUGAAGUCUUUUAUGACUGAGUGGCGGACGGGUGAGUAACGCGUGGGUAACCUGCCUCAUACAGGGGGAUAGCAGCUGGAAACGGCUGGUAAUACCGCAUAAGCGCACAGUACCACAUGGUACAGUGUGAAAAACUCCGGUGGUAUGAGAUGGACCCGCGUCUGAUUAGCUUGUUGGCGGGGUAACGGCCCACCAAGGCGACGAUCAGUAGCCGACCUGAGAGGGUGACCGGCCACAUUGGGACUGAGACACGGCCCAGACUCCUACGGGAGGCAGCAGUGGGGAAUACUGCACAAUGGAGGAAACUCUGAUGCAGCGACGCCGCGUGAGUGAAGAAGUAUCUCGGUAUGUAAACUUCUAUCAGCAGGGAAGAAAAUGACGGUACCUGACUAAGAAGCCCCGGCUAACUACGUGCCAGCCGCCGCGGUAAUUC